rnacentral:sRNA from 1 species
UCAUAAAUAAAACUAUAUACAUGCAUUUUAGUACCAUUAAAAAUUGGAAAACAAAUUAAAAAAAUAUAUAGAACUAGAUUGGAGGGUGUGCCAGCCCAUGCUAUAGUGCAACGCAAGAGCGACACUUGAAGGACCCAGUAGCAAGCUACCGUCGUGGACCUUCCCCUUUAAAAAAUUAAUUUAAUAUCGUGUGGACCAUUGGCCCACAUAUCAGAUAUUAAACUGAUAAGAACAGAUACUACACUUGAUCUUAGCCAAAAGGCCGAGAAAGGUAUGAGUUCUUUCAGCUUGAGAGACUCAUUUUAGAGUACAACAUCAAGUGACUGUUAUGUAUUACAGUCUAUGUGGGACUCAGCAUUGCAUUGUGUAAUCCACUCC